rnacentral:rRNA from 1 species
GACGAACGCUGGCGGCGUGCCUAAUACAUGCAAGUAGAACGCUGAAGAGAGGAGCUUGCUCUUCUUGGAUGAGUUGCGAACGGGUGAGUAACGCGUAGGUAACCUGCCUGGUAGCGGGGGAUAACUAUUGGAAACGAUAGCUAAUACCGCAUGAUAUUAAUUAUCGCAUGAUAAUUAAUUGAAAGAUGCAAUUGCAUCACUGCCAGAUGGACCUGCGUUGUAUUAGCUAGUUGGUGAGGUAACGGCUCACCAAGGCGACGAUACAUAGCCGACCUGAGAGGGUGAUCGGCCACACUGGGACUGAGACACGGCCCAGACUCCUACGGGAGGCAGCAGUAGGGAAUCUUCGGCAAUGGGGGGAACCCUGACCGAGCAACGCCGCGUGAGUGAAGAAGGUUUUCGGAUCGUAAAGCUCUGUUGUAAGAGAAGAACGGGUGUGAGAGUGGAAAGUUCACACUGUGACG